UUUCCGUAGGUGAACCUGCGGAAGGAUCAUUACUGAGUGAGGGCCCUCUGGGUCCAACCUCCCACCCGUGUUUAUUGUACCUUGUUACUUCGGUGAGCCCGCCUCACGGCCGCCGGGGGGCAUCUGCCCCCGGGCCCGCGCCCGCCGAAGACACCCUUGCACUCUGUCUGAAGUUUGCAGUCUGAGCGAAAACUAAAUAAGUUAAAACUUUCAACAACGGAUCUCUUGGUUCCG
rnacentral:misc_RNA from 1 species